GAUGAACGCUAGCUACAGGCUUAACACAUGCAAGUCGAGGGGAAACGACAUCGAAAGCUUGCUUUUGAUGGGCGUCGACCGGCGCACGGGUGAGUAACGCGUAUCCAACCUGCCCAUCACUUGGGAAUAACCUUGCGAAAGUAAGACUAAUACCCAAUGACAUCCCACGAAGACAUCUGAAUGGGAUUAAAGAUUUAUCGGUGAUGGAUGGGGAUGCGUCUGAUUAGCUUAUUGGCGGGGUAACGGCCCACCAAGGCAACGAUCAGUAGGGGUUCUGAGAGGAAGGUCCCCCACAUUGGAACUGAGACACGGUCCAAACUCCUACGGGAGGCAGCAGUGAGGAAUAUUGGUCAAUGGGCGAGAGCCUGAACCAGCCAAGUAGCGUGCAGGAUGACGGCCCUAUGGGUGGUAAACUGCUUUUAGAAGGGAAUAAAGUGGGUCUCGGGAGACUUUUUGCAUGUACCUUAUGAAUAAGGACCGGCUAAUUCCGUG
rnacentral:rRNA from 1 species